ensembl:lncRNA
GUAUUCUUCACACAGUCCUUCAUCGAUGCCAGUUUUCAGAUCGAAGAAACCCUUGCUCCAUGAAGUUUGUGAACACAUAUACUCAUGUUUUGUUUGAGAUUUUAAAGUCAUUCUUCAGUUUUGUUGGAGGAAUGGUUCUGUAUAUGCCCCGUGGAUCCCCAAAUCCACUGAUGUUCAUGUGUCUUGGGGCUUCCCAGGUGGUUCUAGUGGUAAAGAACAUGCAGAACAUACCCAUGCAGGAGACAUGGGAGGUAUGGAUUCCAUCCCUGGGGCAGGAAGAUCUCCUGAGGGAGAGCGUGGCAACCCCCUCCAGUAUCUUUGCCUAGAGAAUCUCAUGGAGAGAGGAGCCUGGUGGGGCCUAGUCCAUAUGAUCCCAAGGAGUUGGACACAAUGUAAGUGACUUCGCACAGCACAUGAUUCGUUGUCAUAGCUAAUAUAAUGGAGAUGACAUAAAAAGAAGCACCAGCGGGCGAAAGUCAAUAUCCAUCACUUUUAAACUUUGGAAUGUAUUGUGAUAUUUUACAUCCAUAUUUGUAUGACUUGAUAGUUGGAGAAUCGAUGCAUGUGAAGGCCUGGUUGUGUUAUAUGUAUGUUGAGGGAAGAUAUAUUUUUAUGUGGUUUGACAUAUAGGUCCCAUUUCAUUCGUAGACAUAUGCAUACUCAUCACUUAUCAUCAUUUUUUUUUUGAAAAGACCAUUGUUUGGAAAGGUUGUUGUCUAACCAUGAAAGAUGCUUGAAUUCUUGGGCUCCUUAGAGGAAGAAUUCAACCCGGGGCCAGUGAUGAGGCUUGAUCAGAAGGGGGCAGAAAGAGUGCCCCCCUACUCAUCUUUGGCUGGAUGUUAUCUAGCUACUAGCAGUCUACUCAUUAGAGAAAGGAAUGGCAGCAGACCCCUCACCCACAAGAUAUAUGGAGAUGACCGUGGCACCAGGUGAGUCAUCCUGGGCCAUAAAACGAUUGAUAUGAGCAAAUGCAUAGCUUCAUUCACAUAGAUCAGGAGAGCCAUGUAUGAGUAAAGCAUAUUGGUUUGUCAAGUCAGUUCUGAGCCUUUAGGCAGAACCUACUUGAAGAUAGAGUCUAGGGUAAAUACAUAGUACAUUCACAUAGCUUAAGGCAAACCUUUCCAUGAGAAAAAUGCCUUGGUCAGCUCAAAGUAUGAGAAAAGUGAAGUUCAGGCGGAACCAGGUGUCAUUAUAGCAACACAGAUUUGUAAGAGAAAAAUCUCUUUUUAAAUUUGUAUCAAGAAGGGGAAAAAGAUAACAGCUUGUUUCCUCCUGCCUCGGAAGUGACAGAUAACAACUGUCUGACACUUGCACCCCAUUUCCUCCCUGUGGAGACCCCUGGCCUUCCUGGCUGUUACCCUCUCAGUUUCAUUCAUUGAGCGUUUUCUGCCUUGUGAAACAUUGGGCAUAGAAGUAUGUGUUUAUUUAGGGGUAUUUCAUCCAAUUUCAUUUAAAUGCAUAUGUGAAUUAGAAAGUUUGACAUGCUGUUGCUUUGUAUACCGAUUGGGAAAUGUGAGCCUCCAAGCUUAAUUUAGUUUUUCAUGUUCAUUUUUCUUUUUAGGGGUACAAAGAAAAAUAAUAUGACUGUUAAGAUCAGCUUUCGUAUUUUUUGCCAAAUAUGAAUUGGGAUCACAUCGAUCAGAGAUGAGUCUGUGCAUGAAAGCCCUAAUAACUAAUGCUAAUUGACUUCACUACCAUGGGAUGUUUUCAUAUCUAUUGAGGAUUUACUUCAUGUAUUUCGAUUUUAACUUUCUGUCUUACAGCCUUGUUUGUAGAUCAAAGCUAUUUGAAAUUGUCAUCUGGUUUCAAAUGGCUUGUGAGGUUAUUCAUGAGUGGCUUAUAAAACCGAAUGGAUUGUACGUAGCCAUACUUUGUUGUCAUUCUAUGAAUUUGAAGAAUGUCUGAAGAAUGUCUGCAGUUAUGCCUUAAAGAUUCAUACAAUUGAUGUCCAAUAUUUAUCUCAAUAGACUUGCUUUCAAUUUGUAGUUUCCUAUGCGUAUGUCUUUCUUUAUGGAUUUGGGUAGAACUUGUAUUGGAACACUGAAAAAUCUGUGAUAUCAACCGUGCUGACCUUUCUGGUGGUCAUCAUUAAGAUUUUCACGCUCUAUGGAUCCUAGUGGAAACAGGUGCUGUUCAUCCUACUUUUGUGAAGAUUGAACUCAUCGUAGAAAGUGGAAUUUGUUGAAAUAUUUAUGGUAUAAAUAAAUCUUGUCUCUAUAAUUAAAAAAAAAAAAAAAAAAAAAAAAAAAACUAGAGCAA